AUUGAACGCUGGCGGCAGGCCUAACACAUGCAAGUUGAGCGGCAGCGGGAAAGUAGCUUGCUACUUUUGCCGGCGUGCGGCGGACGGGUGAGUAAUGCCUGGGGAUCUGCCCAGUCGAGGGGGAUAACUACUGGAAACGGUAGCUAAUACCGCAUACGCCCUACGGGGGAAAGCAGGGGACCUUCGGGCCUUGCGCGAUUGGAUGAACCCAGGUGGGAUUAGCUAGUUGGUGAGGUAAUGGCUCACCAAGGCGACGAUCCCUAGCUGGUCUGAGAGGAUGAUCAGCCACACUGGAACUGAGACACGGUCCAGACUCCUACGGGAGGCAGCAGUGGGGAAUAUUGCACAAUGGGGGAAACCCUGAUGCAGCCAUGCCGCGUGUGUGAAGAAGGCCUUCGGGUUGUAAAGCACUUUCAGCGAGGAGGAAAGGUUGGUAGCUAAUAACUGCCAGCUGUGACGUUACUCGCAGAAGAAGCACCGGCUAACUCCGUGCCAGCCGCCGCAGUAA
rnacentral:rRNA from 1 species